CACAGAGUCUCUAGUAGUAGGCUACUCAUUGAAUUAGUUUGUGUGUCAAAACUAUAUUACAUUCACAAUGCAGCGAUAUGCAAAACACAGCAGCA